UACUUGGAAUUACCAAUUAAAUGUUAAAAACAAAGAACUAUAAUUCUGUUUGUCUUCCAUGAAAAUUACAACAGAAUUGGGCAAAUUGGUGGUGAAAUUGUGCAACUCUGUCUGAUUGUAGCUUAGCAACGUCACUAAGCAGGCCGCCAAAGGUUAGGAAUUUACCCAUAAAUGUCUUUCAGCAGAAGGACCUGCUUGUCUCAAGGGUACCUUAUGAUACAAAACAAUUCCCAGCAGUCUUGAACACAUUUUUUAUUAUUUAUUGGACGGCUAUAAAAAAACAGAGUGAGAUAUCACAAAUCUGCCUCCCCGGCUCCCUAAACCCCUGCUGACGCUGGAAAACGGAGGUCGUACCUGUCCUUGAAAGUAUGGUUGUCUGAGCUGGCCGACUGUCACGACAGCCUCCUGUGGUGCGAUUCCAUGAUGGACGUGGCGAGGAGUGAGCCCAUUGAAAUGCUGUCACAGUCGGCGUAGAGGAGAUGGAACAAGCCCUUUCGCAUGCCCUUGAGAUUCCAAGUUAAACAGUAUCAUUAUCCUCACACGAGUUUCAUUGUUUAACCUUUAAGCCAGAAUGACUUGAAAGUUUCGUUAUCUCCCUAAAUAGGAAAGAAAUGGCUCUCGUACGAACUUCACUCUCAUCAAGGCAAGAAUGUGCCAUCUUUAAAGGCACAAAACACUCAGACAACAACUUCCUUUGGCCUAAGAAAUGUUUGAUGUUUGCUUGUUCUUUUUUUUUUUUUCUCUCACUAGCUUCUGUAAUUUCUAACCCAGUUGCAGCUUCAACAAUGAUCUUCCCAACAGGCCAAGAAAACCACCAGUCCCCCAACAACUCUGUUUAUUUAGGACUGUGGAGGUCCAUGUGGACCGGAUUGCUAAUGUGUUUUUGACAGAUUUAAUGGGGGAAAAUAAUAAAAUGAGACAAAGAUGUGAACGCUGCCAAAGGCAUAAACAACAAUAAAAUGUUUUGUUAUAGUCUGCCUAUUUGUCUCACUUCAUAAAAAAAUAUGAAUUUAAUUACGAUUAUAUCUAAAAAAAAAAAAAA